rnacentral:rRNA from 1 species
AUUGAACGCUGGCGGCAGGCCUAACACAUGCCAGUCGAGCGGAUGAAGGGAGCUUGCUCCUGGAUUCAGCGGCGGACGGGUGUGUAAUUCCUAGGAAUCUGCCUGGUAGUGGGGGAUAACGUCCGGAAACGGGCGCUAAUACCGCAUACGUCCUGAGGGAGAAAGUGGGGGAUCUUCGGACCUCACGCUAUCAUAUGAGCCUAGGUCGGAUUAGCUAGUUGGUGGGGUAAAGGCCUACCAAGGCGACGAUCCGUAACUGGUCUGAGAGGAUGAUCAGUCACACUGGAACGGAGACAAGGUCCAGAAUCCUACGGGAGGCAGCAGUGGGGAAUAUUGGACAAUGGGCGAAAGCCUGAUCCAGCAAGGCCGCGUGUGAGAAGAAGGUCUUCGGAGUGGAAAGCACUUUAAGUUGGGAGGAAGGGAAGUAAGUUAAUACAUAGCUGUAUUGACGGUACCAACAGAAUAAGCACCGGCUAACUACGUG